UACAGAGGGUGCAAGCGUUAAUCGGAGUUACUGGGCGUAAAGGGCGCGUAGGCGGGAAUUUAAGUGAGUUGUGAAAUCCCUGGGCUUAACCUAGGAAGUGCAACUUAAACUGAGUUUCUAGAGUAUUGUAGAGGGUAGUGGAAUUUCCGGUGUAGCGGUGAAAUGCGUAGAGAUCGGAAGGAACACCAGUGGCGAAGGCGGCUACCUGGACAAAUACUGACGCUGAGGCGCGAAAGCGUGGGGAGCAAACAGG
rnacentral:rRNA from 1 species